UCAUUUUCUUAUAAAAAUUAAACUUGAAUAUUUCAUUUGAUUUUAUUUCCUAAUUGUACAUACGAAUGUGGCGUUCAUAUGUACAGGUGCAAGAUGAUAGUCCAUGUUUAUUCUUCAUCAGUUACAAGGCAAACGGUCCAAGUUGAGUGAUGUUGAUUAAUGUUACAAGGUGAAUAGGAGUAUGAUAUGUUCUUGCAGACAAGUUAAUACAAAAUAUGUUCAAUUUUUUCCUUACUGCCACAAAACUGUAUAUUUCUUAGACAGCUGCCAGUUGAUCUAUUUUUUGAAUUCCAACUGAUAUAUUAGUUGACUCACUUUGUAAUGUACUAUUAGCUUGACAGGUACAACCAUGAC
rnacentral:lncRNA from 1 species